rnacentral:rRNA from 1 species
CCUACGGGCGGCAGCAGUAGGGAAUAUUGCUCAAUGGGGGAAACCCUGAAGCAGCAAAGCCGCGUGGAGGAUGAAGGUUUUCGGAUUUUAAACUCCUUUUGUUAGAGAAGAUAAUGACGGUAUCUAACGAAUAAGCACCGGCUCACUCCGUGCCAGCAGCCGCGGUACUACGGAGGGUGCCAGCGUUACUCGGAAUCACUGGGCGUAAAGAGAGCGUAGGCGGGGUAGCAAGUCAGAUGUGAAAUCCUAUGGCUCAACCAUAGAAUUGCAUUUGAAACUGUUAUUCUAGAGUAUGGGAGAGGUAGGUGGAAUUCGUGGUGUAGGGGUAAAAUGCGUAGAGAUCAAGAGGAAUACUCAUUGCGAAGGAGAUCUGCUAGAACACAACUGACGCUGAUGCACGAAAGCGUGGGGAGCAAACAGGAUUAGAUACCCUAGUAGUC